AUGGAGAAAGGGAAGAUGGUUGUUCACGAUAGGUGCUUUGUGCUUCAACAGCAGGCACAGCAGAAGAUGUGGUGGUCACUACCGCCAGUUGGGUGGACAAAAUUGAAUGUGGAUGGCAGCUUCGUACAUGCAACAGGAGCAGCUGGCAGAGGUAUGAUCUUGCGAUCAGACCAAGGAGGCAUUAUAUACACCGCCUGUAGGGAAUUUCGCACGUGCAAUAACGGCCUCGAAGCGGAGUUGGCGACGUGUAAGGAGGGACUCGAACUGGCCUUGCACCGCACUGAUUUGCCCAUACUAAUUGAGAUGGAUUGUGUAGAAGCUGUGAAUUUGCUGAACCGCCUCCACAAGGGAUCGCUCAAGAAACCGAGUGCUCGUCGAGGACAUCAAGAGGAUGAAGGAAGCUGA
rnacentral:rRNA from 1 species